AGGGUUCGAUUCUGGCUCAGGAUGAACGCUAGCUACAGGCUUAACACAUGCAAGUCGAGGGGCAUCACUAGUCAAAGCUUGCUUUGAUUGAUGGCGACCGGCGCACGGGUGAGUAACGCGUAUCCAACCUUCCCCUUAGUAGGGCAUAGCCCGGCGAAAGUCGGAUUAAUACCCUAUGUUGUGUCAUGAGGACAUCUGAAUAACACUAAAGAUUUAUCGCUAAGGGAUGGGGAUGCGUCCGAUUAGCUUGCCGGCGGGGUAACGGCCCACCGGGGCGACGAUCGGUAGGGGUUCUGAGAGGAAGGUCCCCCACACUGGUACUGAGACACGGACCAGACUCCUACGGGAGGCAGCAGUGAGGAAUAUUGGUCAAUGGGCGAGAGCCUGAACCAGCCAAGUAGCCGUGCAGGAUGACGGCCCUAUGGGUUGUAAACUGCUUUUAUGCGGGGAUAAAGUGACGUACGUGUACGUUUUUGUAGGUACCGCAUGAAUAAGGACCGGCUAAUUCCGUGCCAGCCGCGGC
rnacentral:rRNA from 1 species